rnacentral:rRNA from 1 species
CAGUUCGGACUGUAGGCUGCAACUCGCCUACACGAAGUCGGAACCGCUAGUAAUCGCGGAUCAGCAUGCCGCGGUGAAUACGUUCCCGGGCCUUGUACACACCGCCCGUCACACCAUGGGAGCCGGGAAUGCCCGAAGUCGGUGACCCAGCCGUAAGGAGGGAGCCGCCGAAGGCAGGCCUGGUAACUGGGGUGAAGUCGUAACAAGGUAUC